AUGAGGACCGUGCUGGUGUUGCCGUCAAACAUGAUUCUCCCUUGUUGCUGCGCUGCUACAGUGGCUCACUCCAGCACAGCCUCAAUCAGCUCAGCCAGCAUCUUCUUGGCUGUAGUCUUGUGCAAGACUACUCCAAGCCAGGACAGUACACAGGUAUGUGUCUAUAAUGCCAUGCUUUGUUUUGGUAAUGCACAGACUUCUGUUUUACAACCUUGUUUUCUGUUUAAUUUUCUUUUGUCAGGCGUGCUUAUCAGGGUGGAGUACCUGUGCUCACAGCAGUCCUGGGAGUUGAGGAAGAACUUUGGGUGGGACCCAGAUGGGAUCCCAGCGGGCUUGGGAGAUAUAGAAGAUGAAGGAUUUGGGGAUGAAGCAGAGGAGCAGGACCACGCCAUCUCCCCUGUUUCUUUAGUCUCAACCAAGGAAGCUAUAUGCUUGUCUCGGGAUUCACCGUCACCCUCUCAGUCCUCACAGGACUUGCCACCUGAGCCCCAGGAAGAUGUGUGCAGAAGACCAGACGGGACUCCAGGAUUUGACACAGUGGUGGACCUGGCCAGAUACCUUGUCGAGCUGAGGGAAAAGCCUUGCAUCUUGGACAGGGAAGCUACUGACAUUGUUAGGCUGUGGGACAGACUCCCAGACAGUGACAGACAGGGUUUUUCCUAUCCACUAAGACACAAGGAGAGACUUUUGCAAGGCAGGUUCAAGGCCACCCACUCCAAAACCUCCACCUGCCAUGGAAAAGAAAGCCUGAAGCGAUGUGUGCUGGGGCAGGGCUCCUGCGCAGUGGCCUAAUAUUAGUAGAAUUGUAUUGGCAGUAUGUCUGGAGCUCAUCCAGUGAGGAAGGUGAAGUGGGGCGUUUCAAUGAACCACUGGGCUGCUGUACUACAUGACUACAAGGCCAUAUGGAGACUGGUGGGGAACUGCCCAGCACUGAGGGGACAGACAUGAAUUCAACUGUUUGAGGUCAGUCAGUGGACGCUAUCUGUCUGGUAAAUAGUUUCAGUGAAAGCCAGAUAUAAAAGUAAUUUUACAAUUCUCAGAUUAUGUUCAUCCUAUUAAUUGUGUCAUUUCAAACAGGUACAACAACUACAGGAAGAAGCUGGAGGCAGAUGUGCUGGCUCUGAGUGUGCCCUUGCCUCAGAUCAGCAUGGUAUCUCACACCCAGCUUCCUGUAGCCAGACAGAUGACGUCAAUUCCCUCUGCACCUGGGUCAUCACUUCAACCUUUCCCCUAUGUUGAAAGCCCUGAUCUGUCAGGUCAGGUCAGGCCACGCGAUGUGGGCAGCGACCUCCUCCCCCUGCAUCAGCACCCGCUCUCUCUGCUCCACAGCCAGCGUCUCUCUCUGCUCCAGGAGCAGGAACAUCGAUAAGCAGAACAACUCUGUGGAGGAAGAGGAAGGCAGCAGAGUUUUUAGCUCAGGACCAAGGGCUGGUUUCUAGUGUGAACAAUUUAAUAAGCAAAAAACAGACUGUGAAAUGUAUUUUGGGGUAGAAUUGCUAUUAAAUAAAUUCAACUUAGUUCAUACCUUUAUAAUCA
ensembl:lncRNA